CCGGCCAUCCACCCACGUCCCCGACCCACUCCGGUCAUCCACCCACGACCCCGACCCAACCACGAACCACCACGGACCACCACCACGACCCAGUGACCACCACGAACCACCACGAACCACCACGGACCACAAAACGUCGCCACCACCACCACCCGUGAUCGUCGACACCGAACAGAGGCCUUCGCCACCACGAGCAGUACCCGUCGCCACCACCACCCGUGAUCAUUAAAAGAUGGCUCCCAGACUCAUUAUUCCAGCACCCGAGCAUUUCACUGGCCGCGUCACAUAUAGGGGCACUGGAAUUUUUGCAAAAAUUAAAGCUCGGUUUGAGGAGUUCAACCUUAAUAACACGGCGAAGGAAAGCCGUUUCGGGAGCUUCUGGAAUGCCGUACCACUGACAUUCUCCUCGGUGUUAU